rnacentral:rRNA from 1 species
UACGUAGGGUGCGAGCGUUAAUCGGAAUUACUGGGCGUAAAGCGUGCGCAGGCGGUUUUGUAAGUCAGAUGUGAAAUCCCCGGGCUUAACCUGGGAACUGCGUUUGAAACUACAAGGCUAGAGUGUGGCAGAGGGGGGUGGAAUUCCACGUGUAGCAGUGAAAUGCGUAGAGAUGUGGAGGAACACCGAUGGCGAAGGCAGCCCCCUGGGCUAGCACUGACGCUCAGGCACGAAAGCGUGGGGAGCAAACAGG